CACAUGUUGUUUGUUUUUGUUUGUAGUUGUUGACUUGUCUUUUAUUUUUUUAUUGUUUAUCAUUUAAUUCUUUGCAUAAUGCCAAUUUUAUUGGAACUGCUUGAUGAAUGGCACUUGGCGAACUGUCCGUCCUGCACUCGGAAUUACGUGAAAACAGUCUGGCGUUUCGGACUUUCAUACAUAAAUGAUUACAUACCGAAAGAGAUCAGGUUCACGUUAGGGCUUCUCACCGAGUUGAUUUUCACGUUCGUCGUAUAAUACCAUAGACGACAGGAAGAUUCGCGGUGGAACAGGAUAAAUCUAAAAGAAAAAGUUUUAAAUAAACCAAUCCGGUGAAGCUUG